AUUGAACGCUGGCGGCAGGCCUAACACAUGCAAGUCGAGCGGAUGAGGGGUGCUUGCACCCUGAUUCAGCGGCGGACGGGUGAGUAAUGCCUAGGAAUCUGCCCGAUAGUGGGGGACAACGUUUCGAAAGGAACGCUAAUACCGCAUACGUCCUACGGGAGAAAGUGGGGGCUCUUCGGACCUCACGCUAUCGGAUGAGCCUAGGUCGGAUUAGCUAGUUGGUGGGGUAAAGGCUCACCAAGGCGACGAUCCGUAACUGGUCUGAGAGGAUGAUCAGUCACACUGAAACUGAAACGCUGUCCAGACUCAUACGUGUGGCAGCAGUGGGGAAUAUUGGACAAUGAGCGAAAGCCUGAUCCAGCCAGACCGCGUGUGUGCAGAAGGUCUUCGGAUUGUAAAGCACUUGAAGUCGGGAGGAAGGGCUGCAGGUUAAUACCUUGCAGCCUUGACGUUACCGACAGAAUAAGCACCGGCUAACUUCGUGCCAGCAGCCGCAGUAAUAC
rnacentral:rRNA from 1 species